rnacentral:rRNA from 1 species
AACGAACGCUGGCGGCGUGGAUAAGACAUGCAAGUCGAACGGGAUUUUUUUCUGUAGCAAUACAGAGAAAAGUCUAGUGGCGAACGGGUGCGUAACACGUGAGCAACCUGCCGUGAAGUGGGGGAUAGCUCGCCGAACGGCGAAUUAAUACCGCAUGUGGCCAAGGAAGACAUCUUCCUGACGCCAAGGCCGGGGCAACCUGGCGCUUCUCGAGGGGCCCGCGGCCUAUCAGCUUGUUGGUGAGGUAACGGCUCACCAAGGCUAUGACGGGUAGCUGGUCUGAGAGGACGACCAGCCACACUGGAACUGAGACACGGUCCAGACACCUACGGGUGGCAGCAGUCGAGAAUUUUUCACAAUGGGGGAAACCCUGAUGGAGCGACGCCGCGUGGAGGAUGAAGGUUUUCGGAUUGUAAACUCCUGUCAUUAGAGAACAAGGCACACGGUUUAACUGGCCGUGUGUUGAUAGUAUCUGAAGAGGAAGAGACGGCUAACUCUGUGCCAGCCGCCGCAGUAA